rnacentral:lncRNA from 1 species
UUUACUAUUAGAGUUUGUCAAUUCUACUCCGGUUUUGCUUCCUUUUUUGGUAUUUACUGUAAUGCACAUUCAUUACCAAUAACAAAAAAGGAAUUAUAAUGGAAAUAUUGUAACACCCCCUUCCCGAAAAGGAAAGGGAGGUCACAUGCAAAGCACAACAAACCUUAAAAUAAAUAAACAGAGCACUAACAACCUCAAAAUAUUAAUAGUGGUGAUCCAUUAAUAAAAUACUAAGUACAAUUCUCCAAACAGAGUCAAAAUAAUCAAAACUUAAAAUCUAAACAACCUAGAUGGUCAAAGGCAACUCUCUCAUCACCCUAGCCCUGAAUCACCCCUGCAAACCUGCCGGAAGAAAAACACAGCAUGAGCCAAAUGCCCAGUACGGAUACAGAAAUACAAAAGACAUACAACUGAUAUACAAAAACAACUGAGACAAAAUACUGAACAAAGCCUCAAGUGUAAAUACUAACGAAAAUAUAAUCUCCAAAGAUCUGAAUGAAAUAUAUCUGAAUCAACAGAAUUGACGAAACCAAUAGACGAAUAAAGAAAUAGCGAACUGAAGUAACUAACUCAAUGAAUUGAACUGAACAGAAACGAACAAAACUAAUACAAUAAAAUAAUAGGCUGAAACAAAUGGCUGGGGUUAUUUCAUACCGAGUGAGCUCAAAAAUAUAUCUUGCCACACAGGCAAGUCCAAAUAAUGCCACACAGGCAAGUCAAAAUAAUGCCACAUAAGCAAAUAACACAUUGGACCGCGAAUCCAAAUGUAUGCAAAUCGAAUAGGUGUGUUUGGCACAACAUCACCAAUCUGCAGAACAAAAAACUAGGGUUAACACAUACGCCUCCCACAACAAAACACCAAAUGGCCCAUUUCCUCCGGAGCCCAAAACGGAGAUGCCAUGGACUAAUCACACCGCCACGGAGAGUGUCAUGCCUCUCGUGCCAAGAUGAUAUACUUGUGGUACCCCUACAUGUGGUUAUAGCUCAGGUAUACCCUACGGUAUAUUCUAACAAAAUACCAUGUCACAACACAUGCGACAUAAUACCAACAAAAAGGAUUCUAUAUGUACAUGUUGAACCAAAUCAAAUUCUAGUCACAAGGUUUCAAAAAGAAGGUAGAAACAUGUAUCGCUCUACAAUUAUCAAAAAUAAAUACUAAACAUGAUAACCUAUUUCAAAGGGUACAAUUACGCAUCAUAUGUAUCAACUCCAAAAUGAAACUAUUAUAUGAAUUUCACAAGAGACAAUUAUGUGAAAUAAUAAUGAAAUUCAAAAUAAGGAACAAAACGAACGAAUCAAAUUUGACAAGAGUAUCGCCGAAGGAGUACGAAAUCCGUACCUGGAUUAAGCAAUGCAAUACCCAAAAUUAUUAUCCCAAUAUUGUUUGUUAAAUUCCUUCCGUCCGAUCUAAUAAUAAAAUAAUAAAAUAAAAUUUAUUACAAAUCUAGCCAUUACAAACAUAAUAUUAUUUAAUUUAUUAUUAAGAACUUUUAUAACUAUGCCGACAAAAUUAAUUAAUUUAAAUUAAUAUACAUAACUUCAAUUUAAUUCACCAAUUCCGAUUUAUAAGUUUCAUAGCCAAAUACUUAUUAAAAUAUAAUAUAUAUAUAUAUAUAUAUAUAUAUAUAUAUAAAUGACGUAAUCAGCGGAUGCAGUCUGCAAUUUACCUGAUCUCUCUCUCUACAAAAUCCUCAUAUAUAUAUAUAUAUAUAUAUAUAUAUAUAUAUAUAUAAAAAAAAAAAAAAGGUUUUAUUUGGUAAAGUUUUUAUUCCGUAACAAUAGUAUCAUUUUUAGUGAAAAUAGUAUUAACUACUAAAAUUUGGCAUUAUAAAUUUAUUAUCAUACCACAUUAUUAAAUUAAUUUCAAGAGUACAUAUGAUAUAAAUAUUCACAAAUUUUACAAACAUGAUAUUUUUAUGGAGUAAUUGGGGUAUUUUAUUUUUCCCCAACUGUAUAUCAUAAUUGUGAGUUUUUUCAAGAACAGAAAAUGAAAAAUAUGGGUGAAAGGCAUUCUAAAUUUUCUACCCAAAACAUUCCACUCAAUUAUGAGAAGAUUUUAGUUAUAUUUUUAAACUUGUCAUUAUUUCCAUUUUGUACUUAAAAUUACAAAUAUUAAUAUUUUAAUUUCUUUUAUGUACAUUUUUUUUCUCCCUUUAACUAAUAAAUAUUAAACUUUUUCUAUUAAACAUUAAUAUUACAAAUAAAGUUUAAUAUUAAUAUUAAACUUUUUUCUAUUCCCUUAANNNNNNNNNNNNNNNNNNNNNNNNNNNNNNNNNNNNNNNNNNNNNNNNNNNNNNNNNNNNNNNNNNNNNNNNNNNNNNNNNNNNNNNNNNNNNNNNNNNNUGUGUUGUGACAUUAUAUUUUGUUAGAAUACCGUAGGGUAUACCUGAGCUAUAACCACCUGUGGGGGUACCACAUGCAUGUCCUCUUGGCACCGAGGCAUGACACCUUCCGUGGCGGUGUAAUCAGUCCACGACGUCUCCAUUUUGUGCUCCGGUGGGAGUUGGCCCUUUGGUGUUUUGUUGUGGGAGGCAUAUGGGUCGACCCUAGUUUUCUGUUCUGUUCUGUUCUGUGGAUUGGUGAUGUUUGUGCCAAACACACCUUCCGAUUUUGCACGCAUCUGGAUUGCGCAGUCUAAUGUGUGAGUGCCUGUGUGGCAUUAUUUUGAUUGCAUAUGUGGCAUUAUUUGACUUGCCUGUGUGGCAAAGUCUAUUACUAUUUAUUUUGAGCUCAGUAUGAAAUAACACCCAACCAUUUGAUUCAGCCUAUUAUUUCGUUGUGUUAGUUUUGUUCGUUUCGUUUCAGUUCGUUUCGUCUCUUUUCAUUUAAUUGAGUUAGUUAUUUCGGUUCAUUAUUUGUAUUCUAUAUCUGUACUGGACAUUUGGCUUAUGCUCUGUUUUUCUUCCGGAAGGUAAUCAGGGAGAUCAAGGGCAAGUGUGAUGAGAGCUCCCUUCAUUCCAAUGGUUUAGAAAUAUUCUGUUUAGGCUUGUUAUGUCAGUUUAUUUAGUAUUGUAAUAAUUAUUUUAGAUUGUGGUUUGAGCCAAUGUGACAUUUAUUAUGGUUUGUCUUAUAAGAUUUAAUUAUUAUGAGAUUAUUCUUUUGUGGUUUAGAGCCUUGUGAUAUUCGUUAGUUCUGUUGUGUUGUGCGUAACUUCUCUUUCUAUUUUGAAAAGGGGGUGUUACAACAUCACAUUAGCACAUAGCCAUAUUUCACACAUAGGAGCAAGUUCUGAAAGAUUUGUCUAUACCGAAGUUUUACCAUUACACUAAUUUCUGUGUUCAUUGUAUGUGAGAUCAACAUUGCACAUUAUCAAUCAAAACUUCACUCUAACAACCUUAUCUUAACUUAAUAUUUUUUGUACUGUCUUUAUAGACAUCUGACUGUGUUAUCUAAAUAACUCAAUUCUAUAUCCAACUUCGUCACCACACGAGCUAGAUAACUUAUAUAUCACACCAUAUAACUUACUACAUUUGGUUAACUACCAACCAUCUAGGUUUAUACGAUUAGGUCCAUAACUUUUUAUUCAAUCAUUUGUUCAUACAGUCAUUUAUUUAGUUAACAUAAUUAUGACUUCAAGUUAUAAUGUUAAAAUUCACAAUUUAAUUAUAACCAUAACUUUUAUUUAAUUUCUUUUUCAAGCAUAUACUGUAUUAGUUUCAAUACUCCAAUACAUUACCUUAUGUAUAAUCAUACAUGACAUAUAUCACAAUUAGUUAUUCAUAACAAUAUAACUACGCUCCUACAAUCUUUGAUUCACGUACAUUGAUGUCUUAAAACGUUUCUACAUUUAGUUUUAUUAAACUAACUUUUCUUUUUAAACUUAGGGUUUAAUCUACUUUACCCCAAUAUUUGAUUGAAUAUUACCUUGGUGGUCAAUUACUACACCAUUAGGAUUACAUAACAGUUACAACGUCAACACAUACAUCAUAAAUAACCAAACUGAAAAUCUUCACUUUGGAAAAUUUUAGUUUUUUCUAACUUCUUAAUUUUCAAGGCUACUUUGAGGUUUUUAUAAUUUUCUACAUUGCUUCAUUUGAUUCCAAGUUUGGACAGAGAUUUAGACCAUAUGACAUAGUAUUUCAUACAUCCUUUAGUUGGCCGAAAACCUUACGUUAAGGUUCCCAAAACAGUUGCUCAAAAAGCUUGCUCGGAGCAGUUACGUUGCUGCAGAAAAUGUAGCAACUGUGAUUUUUUGGGCUGGUUUGGGGAUUUUUAACUUGUUCGUUAUAAGCCCGAUUGCUAUCCUCCUUGGACCUAAAUGUAAUCCUUACUACAUAGUAUUUUACAAAAAUAAAGCUUGUAUCAAAACAAGUUAUCAAGACCCAAUUACACAAUCUUGAAUUUGUCUGUUCAUAAUAAUUUUCAGACUUAGAAAUUUUUUUCUAGAUUCUGCAGAAUUUCUGACUUUUGAUUUACAUAAUCCUUACAUUUACAUACGCCGCAUAACCUAUGUAAUAUUGAUAGAAUUUAUUACAUAGUUUAACACAUAAUGCGAUCCAUGAAUUUCAACCGAAAUUUAUAUAUUCCAACAUUCACAACUUAAUGUUAAGUUAUUAACCAUGUUCUAAUUAUAGAUUUAUCAUACAUUAUAACAUAUAUAUCUAUCUAACAAAAUACAACUGAUUUUAAAUUUUCCGUUCACUCUAAUAAAUCAUCUGGGUCGUCCAAAAUUUGGGAUAAAUCACAUCGUUCAUAUAGUGCCGGAGGCAUGUGACAACUAGUAUUAUAUAUAUUUACUAAAUUUAAUUAUUUAAAUACUCAAAGUCAAAAAUUGGAAUCAAAACGAAAGUCCGUGUUACGAUUGGAACUAAAAACGAAACGCCGCAUGCAGCUGGGCAGCCAGCACGCGACUGCGCAUAGUGCGUUGCUGGUGCGUCCAGAUUUGCUGCCACAACUUAUUUUCUCGCCUACUUUACAAUUUCAUAUUAAAAUCUAUACGCCCAAUUGAAUCCAACUUUUAAUAUGUUCUAAAUGCUACUUCAUAGUAUUUUAUAAAAAUACUACUUGAUUAAAACAAGUAUUCUAAGGCAUUGAUUUAGAGGGUCAAAAUGCCUAGAAAUCUGUAGAUUUUGCCCAGAAAUCUGCAGUUUUUGCUUAGCUUCGUGCCUACUUUGGAAUUUUGUAACUUGCAAUCUACAUAUUCAAUUACUCUCAAAUUUUAAUAUGUUAUACUUGGUACUACAUAUUAUUUUAUAAAAAUAUAUCACAGCUAAAAGGAAUAUUUUAAACUGUGUUUGCAAGGGCUUGAAACUGCCCUGCUGUAACAGUUUUCUAGUCGAGCCUACUUGGUUCAAUCUUCACAAAUUCGUUUUUAAACCCACUUUGACUUACCCAAGCGGAUUGGUUUACUUCAUAUAAUAUAUAUAAACACUUCCUUUUUCACAACCUUGACCAAUACUUAAUUUUUAAGCUUGACAGCCUCUAAGAGGCAUAAUAACGAACAUGCUCUUUGCGUUGCUUAAAAAGACAGAUUUCAUAGACAUUUAAGUCUAGCCCUGAAAUUCCACCAUUAUCACUCCACAUAGAGUACACAACAUCCCACUUUAUCAAUUCACAACCCAACAUAGCAGUUAUAUCAAUAUACACUUAUGUAUUUACUUACUUUCUCAUGAUCAUUAUAUAAACACAUAAAUUACCUCUUGAUUGAUGUAAGAGUUGAACUCUUGUUUCAAAUUUUGCAAUUGAUUGAGUUUAACCCUUCUUUUAAGCUGCACCUUGCUCCGAUUCUCUAUCAAUUCUGAUUGCUACAUCAUUAUUUUGUCAAAACUGUUGGUUUUACCAAAAUUGGGAGAAAUUUGGUGAGCUUUUGGGUGUUAUAUAAUUUCACAGAUAGAGAGAAAAGGAGGAAUGUAAUAGAUGGAAGUGAUAUAGAAGAAAACUUAGAAUGGUUUACAUAAUAAAAGUUCUCUGAACCUUG